rnacentral:rRNA from 1 species
UACGUAGGGGACGAGCGUUGUCCGGAUUUAUUGGGCGUAAAGCGCGCGUAGGCGGUUCGGCAAGUCGGGCGUGAAAUGCCGGGGCUCAACCCCGGGACUGCGUCCGAUACUUUCGAGCUGGAGGUAGGUAGGGGAGAUCGGAAUUCCUGGUGUAGCGGUGAAAUGCGCAGAUAUUACGAGGAACACCAGUGGCGAAGGCGGUGCUCUGGGCCGGAACUGACGCUGAUGAGCGAAAGCGUGGGGAGCAAACAGG